rnacentral:rRNA from 1 species
CCCGACUGCUAUCGGGGUGAGGCUAAGCCAUGGGAGUCGCGCGCCCCGCCGCCGCGGGGCGUGGCGCACGGCUGAGUAACACGUGGCUAACCUGCCCUCGGGACGGGGAUAACCCCGGGAAACUGGGGCCAAUCCCCCAUAGGGGAAGGGCGCUGGAAGGCCCCCUCCCCGAAAGGACGGCGGCCGAUCCGCCGCCGCCCGCCCGAGGAUGGGGGCACGGCCCAUCAGGUAGUUGGCGGGUUAAAGGCCCGCCAAGCCGAAGACGGGUAGGGGCGGUGAGAGCCGCGAGCCCCGAGAUCGGCACUGAGACAAGGGCCGAGGCCCUACGGGGUGCAGCGGGCGCGAAUACUCCGCAAUGCGGGCAACCGCGACGGGGCUACCCCGAGUGCCGGGCGAAGAGCCCGGCUUUUGCCCGGUCUAAAACGCCGGGAGAAUAAGCGGGGGGCAAGUCUGGUGUCAGCCGCCGCGGUAAUACCAGCUCCGCGAGUGGUCGGGGUGUUUACUGGGCUUAAAGCGCCCGUAGCCGGCCCGGCAAGUCGCUCCUGAAAUCCCAGGGCUCAACCCUGGGGCAGGGGGCGAUACUGCCGGGCUAGGGGGCGGAAGAGGCCGCCGGUACUCCGGGGGUAGGGGCGAAAUCUGUUAAUCUCCGGAGGACCACCAGUGGCGAAAGCGGGCGGCCAGAACGCGCCCGACGGUGAGGGGCGAAAGCCGGGGGAGCAAAGGGGAUUAGAUACCCCUGUAGUCCCGGCCGUAAACGAUGCGGGCUAGCUGUCGGCUGGGCUUAGGGCUCGGCCGGUGGCCGAAGGGAAACCGUUAAGCUCGUCCGCCUGGGGAGUACGGCCGCCAAGGCUGAAACUUAAAGGGAUUGGCGGGGGGG